CUUUCCACCAGGGAAGACUGCAAAGGCCAGAGAUCAUUUUCACAACUAAAGGUCGUCAUCUGGGCAAAUGAACCACUCUGACUUGGAGAUUAGGGGCUCAGACAGCCGUGGAUGAGAGUCCAGCUCUACUACUUAUUAGCCUUGAUUAGGUGAGUAUUACCCUGUAUUUCCUUAUCAGAAGGCCUAGGGGCUAACUGCCUCCUUCCAGUAUGUGCAGGAUUUACCUGUGAUCAAAUCCUGGCUCUGCCAUUUGCUAAGUGUAUGACUUGUGGGCAAGUGAUUUGACUUCUCUGGGCCUCAGUUGCCUCAUCUGUAAAAUGAAGAUAAUGGUAAUGAUGAUAGUAUAUAUGUCAAAGGGCUAUUGGGAGGAUGAAGUCAGUUCAUAUAUGUAAAGCCCUCAACACAACACCUGGCAUAGUGGAAAUAUUAUAGAAGUGUCUGUGAUUACUAGUAUCUGGACACCAAUACUCCAUGUAACUAUAAUGCUUUAUAAAUGUUCUGUAUGAAUCAUAAAGCUAUAAAGUUCCAUAAAUGCUCUUUCAUCUUGGCACAUGGAUAUCCCUCACCCAAUUAAGCUUCUUCACCACAGAUAACUGCUCCCUGCACCCGCCUUAUUACCAUUGGUAUUAAGGAACUCUGGAUAGCAUGAUUACGGCAUCAAAGAUAUGCAGAUGCUAUUUUGACUAAGCAGCACUUUCAUCGUAAGCCAAUUUUUAGAGAUUUGAUUAUUGCACUAGAAAAAUCCUGAAAAGUCUGUUUCCACUAAAUCAGACUUCUGUUGGGAAGAGAGACAUGGUUGCUCAAGAAAAACACCUAUACUCAUACCCAGAGUCCCUCUCAUCUGCUGACAGCUUCCCAGGAAGCGUACAAAUAGCUACCCUUCCUUGAGCCUUAUUGAAACUUGCUCUUCAGAUACCCACACCAUGACUGCACCCUGGAAUUUGUCAUGACCUGAAUUUGACACACUUAAGAAAUCACCCUGGAAUCUGUCACGACCUGAAUUUGACACACUUAAGAAAUCUGAAAUUCCAAUAUUCCACCUUCUGACCACAACCUUCCAGCUGCCCUUUUACUCUAGUCACUGCCAGCCUUGGACCUGACCUCCAGUCAGUCUCUUCAUCCCUCCACUUCCCACCAGCAUCCUCACUUACUAUCCUAGGAAGCUGGUCCCUAGUCGCUCACUGGACCACUCUUUCUUAAGCACUCUGAGAUUCCUUUGCAUCCCUAAACUUAUGUCUACACUUGGAAUAACACCCAUCCCCUUAGUCAUCACAAAAAACAGCCAUCUCUUGGAAGGAUUGCUUAAGCCUAGGCAGUCAAUGCUGCAAUGAGUUAUGAUUAUACCACUGUACUCCAGCCUGGGUGAGAGCAAGACCCUGUUUAAAAUUAAAAGAAACUGUCAUAUCUGUUCACCCAGGCAGAAGACACUGAUAGAGAAAGUCCUGUGAUCACAUAGUUUGAUGGUAUUGCCCUUUUAUUCCAUCCAGCCCACAGUGACUUUCCAAAACUUUGACCCCUCUGCCAGGACCUUCUCGACAUCCACCUCUAAUUCUCAGAAGGAGACCUUACUUCCUACAUCUGUGAGAAAACUGAGGACUGCACAUGUGAACCACCUUAACCUUCUGCCCCACCCCCCCCCAUUCAUUCCUUGACUCAUUUAACAAAUAUUUUUUCAACACCUGUUAUGUAACAAGCUCUAUGCGAGGUGCUGGGGAUGAAAUAAAUAACAAACACGCUCUACAUUCAUGAGGCUUACUGUCUGGUGAUGGAUAAAGCUGUAUAAAGAUGACUAAUAAGAGGUCUAACUAUCUUCAUGCUGCAAAACAACCCAAACUACUGCAUGCUCCAGUUGACUGUCACUGCCGAGACCAGCUUCUGAGUAAUUUCAGCCCAGGCAUCAGACUAGUGAGGGAAGGAGCUUCCAGGUGAUACCACCUCCCAGCCAUACUGUGAGAGGGAUGGGAAAGACUGGUGCUUGGGGUGGCCAUCUGACCCCUGAUGGACAGGAGACCAGGACAAGCCCACUGGAUGAGCCGGAGGGGUCCAGGAGGAGGGAGUUGAGAGCUCCUGCUAGGGUUGACACAUUCUGGUAAGGAGUUCAUCUGCUGUCCACCAGUUGCCAUCUUUAGCGCCAAAGGAAUUGCGUCCUCCCACUUGGAUUGAAUGCAGAGCCGCAGCCAUCUAAAAGGAGGAUUUGGGGGGAGCAUGGAGUAGAAAAUGAGGAAGGGGCAGGAUAUGACAGGGGAGACAAUAAAAAGGUCAACACAGCUCCCACCUCGAAGCAGCUGCCAGUUUAUUACAUGAAGUGUCAGGCUGUGGACUGCAGGCAUGCCAUUUUGUCUUCAAGAACAGAAUUCCCGGGCACACGAAUGAUUCCAGGGUUCCUCCAGCACUUUGGUAUUACUUGAAAGCAAUCUUAAGGGAUCUAGAAUGAACCAACGCCCAAAAAGGAUCCCUUAGCAGCGGUGAUAUCAAAGAAACACUUUUGAAGAACUA
rnacentral:lncRNA from 1 species